UAGCUCAGUCGAUAGAGCAUGAGACUCCUAAUCUCAGUGUCGUGGGUUAGAGCCCCAC
rfam:Danio rerio chromosome 4, GRCz11 reference primary assembly.